rnacentral:rRNA from 1 species
GGAUCGACGGGUCGGUCGCGCCUCUGGUGUGUACUGGCCCUGUCGGUUUCUCCCUUCUGACGAACCACGAUGUCAUUAAUUUGGUGUCGUGGGAAAUCAGGACUGUUACUUUGAAAAAAUUAGAGUGUUUAAAGCAGGCAUUCGCUUGAAUACAUUAGCAUGGAAUAAUGAAAUAGGACGUUUGAUCUUAUUUUGUUGGUUUCUAAGAUCGACGUAAUGAUUAAUAGGGGAUAGUUGGG